UACGAAGGGGGCUAGCGUUGCUCGGAAUCACUGGGCGUAAAGCGCACGUAGGCGGAUUUCUAAGUCAGGGGUGAAAUCCUGGAGCUCAACUCCAGAACUGCCUUUGAUACUGAGGAUCUUGAGUACGGGAGAGGUGAGUGGAACUGCGAGUGUAGAGGUGAAAUUCGUAGAUAUUCGCAAGAACACCAGUGGCGAAGGCGGACUCACUGGCCCGUAACUGACGCUGAGGCACGAAAGCGUGGGGAGCGAACGGG
rnacentral:rRNA from 1 species